UACGGAGGGUGCAAGCGUUAUCCGGAUUCACUGGGUUUAAAGGGUGCGUAGGCGGUCUUCUAAGUCAGUUGUGAAAUACGGCAGCUUAACUGUCGAGGUGCAAUUGAUACUGGGAGACUUGAGUACUGAUGAGGUAGGCGGAAUGGACGGUGUAGCGGUGAAAUGCUUAGAUAUCGUCCAGAACACCGAUAGCGAAGGCAGCUUACUAAGGAGUAACUGACGCUGAGGCACGAAAGUGUGGGGAUCAAACAGGG
rnacentral:rRNA from 1 species